rnacentral:rRNA from 1 species
CACGUAGGGGGCGAGCGUUGUCCGGAUUUAUUGGGCGUAAAGAGCUCGUAGGCGGUCCGUCGCGUCGAAUGUGAAAACCCGGGGCUCAACCCCGGGCCUGCAUUCGAUACGGGCGGACUAGAGUUCGGUAGGGGAGACUGGAAUUCCUGGUGUAGCGGUGAAAUGCGCAGAUAUCAGGAGGAACACCGGUGGCGAAGGCGGGUCUCUGGGCCGAUACUGACGCUGAGGAGCGAAAGCGUGGGGAGCGAACAGG